GUUAGAAAACAGUGCACAAAUGAAGUAAUCCUGGGGAUUGAGACACCACCAGGUGACCACGAUGAUACUGUUCAGUUUCAUAAAUUUUUUUCAUCAUGAAAGAAUAAGUGUAUAAAGAGGAAAGCCGAGUGAAAGCACCAGCAGACCAAGUCCAUUCAAGAAACCAAGUACCUCAUCUGAGAAAGGAGAAAAUAAUAUUCUCUUUCUGAUCUUUUCAUACUUCCCUGUUCAUAAGCCUGGCGUAAUAUGAGAUGAAUUUCAAAUGGAGGUUAUAAUAUGAACUCUGCAGCAUGUUACAGCUCAUCUGGCUUUCCCUAACAGGAAGAGUGGCAGGAUGCCCGUGCUGUCCUCUUCCCUGUGGUUUAUUGUCCAAUCAUAUAAGAAAGUUCUGAAGGAGCAACUGGAAUGAGCCUUCAAGCUGACCAUCCGACCUUCUUCCCAUGCAAACCAUGGUCCUCUGCUUCACCAAAGGAACAGCUGCGUUUGGAGCUUCUCUGACUUCACCUGGAGGGCCACAGUGCACUGGGGCUAUCGACUGGACUCUUCCUCUUGUCCUGGCACAGCUCAGUGGAUACCAGUCCCAGUCCUGCCUUUUUCACCAGGGCUCACCUGAAGGCUGCAGGAAGCUCGCAUCUGUCCACUGGAUUCUUCUUGUGGUGGUGCAGAGGCUCAGAGGACCCAGUCUCAGUCUUUCCCAUUUCCUCAGAGCUUGGGAAAGAAGAGCAGCUUCCUCUGUAGGGUAUGUGGACCUUCCUGGUUUUGCAGUUUGGGGGAUAGCGCUGUGUGAACGUGAGGACUUCUCAGCAGUCGCAAUUCUGCUUAAAAGGCAACUGCGCAGUAGGAUGAGAUGUGCAUCUCAUCUCUACCGGCAUCCUUUAGGCAGCAAUACUGAGAGUAGUAGAACAAUGAGAAUGAUUCUAUGAAGGAAAAAGAAACAUGAAACGUGUAGGUAAGAGAGCAUCUGCAUUCCUGUUGUAAAUGCAUCAAAAUAAAAGAGGUUCUUAGAUUUCUUAGAAGAUGGUUACAGCUGUACGUUUUGUGGUACUGACAACUUACUCUAGAUUAAAUAAAGGGGAUGAUUCUGAAAUAGAAUGGAAGGAGGCAGUGCUCACAGCACCAGGUCAGCAUAUAGUUGUUUCACACUCAGCCCGUUUUCCUGGUGGGCAGCCAGUUCUCUCCUGCAGGAACAUCCUGGUGGUGCUCAUGGGGCUGCCUGGAAAAUUCCCUGUUCUAUCAUGCUGCACGUGAUAAAAACUGGUUCAAGAGCAAUAAUCUGCUGGCAAGCUUGCAGGUAACAAGGUAAUUCUGAAAGCCCUUUUGUAUACUACUGUAGGGUUAAAAGAAGAACAAACAAAACUUGAAUGACAUGUUUUGGUACAGUUUAUGCUAGGCAAACCACCCAGCUAGCUGUCUGGAGAGACCACGAGCCACAUUCACUACAAUGGACAAUAAAGUGCAGUGUUACUGAAGAUACAUUUUAAGUCAAAGUACAGUAAGCACAUCUUGCUAUUUCUUAACAAAUGAAAUACAGGGAUAAAAGGAUGUGAUGGUUCAUUCAUCUGCUGACUUAGCUGUGGUCAGUGUUUUAAAUCAUGCUUGCUCUUCACUGCCUGAUACUUCUUAUUUUUUUAGUUAGUGUUUGGAAAACUGCAUGGCAAGCAUGAUAAAGAAAUGCCAUUUUCGUAUGUAUUUUGUGAGCUAUGAAUGAUAGGAAACAAAACGUUUUUAAAUACUUAAUUGCAAUAUCCCUAAGCAAGGUGCCAUCUGGAAAACUGUGUGCAUGUGUGCUAUAUGCAACCGUCUAUACCCAAAUAACGUUUCAGCUUCAACAGAGGUGAAUUUUUAUGUUUGGGCUGGAGUCAGCUAUGUCUCUCUGAAUUUCGGUUGUCAGACUAAGUCACUUCUCUUAUGAAGCAAAUACGCACUUCCCUUUUGGCUAGAAUUUCGUGUCCAAAUUAAUACAUCAUUGCCUUUUAGACACCCCAAAAGUCAUAGUCAAACCAUGAAUGUUUGGUAAUAUGGUGUUGGUGAUUCUGGAGUAAUCAUACUUGUGAGAACUCUUGUAUUUGCCAGAGUGCAGUCCGUGGAUACUGAUUAAAUGACAAAAAGAGAAUUUUCUGAAGAAUUGAUUGUACACCCGCUCCAUGUACAAUAACUGUUUAAACAGAAUUUAGGGGAAGAAGUUAAAUCACAUCAUUUUUUUUCCCCAAAUCUGGGACUUUGUGGCACCAAGUACAUUAUUUGCAGUAUUACAGCUUUAUGUAUUGCCUGUGAUCCUAUAGCCAUUCAUAUCACAAAAUAGCAUUAGACUGAUAUUUUCACAUUUUACACCGCCUUUAUGCUCUGAGCUCUACAAAGUGGAAAGAAGCUUGUGAGAAAAGUCAGACCCUGAGGAUUUGGAGGUAACAUCAGAUCCAUCCACCUUCCCUCUCACUGUGGUCAGCCAGGCUCUUUGCUCACAUCACACUGAAAAAGGAAACAGUGGCUCUAAUGGGGGAAAAUCAACACAAACCAAUGACAUCCCCAGAUGUCCAGCCUCCAUUCGGUGGCUGACAAAUGUGCAGCAGAUGGUAUGAGUGCUCCCGGAUGUAUUUACGGAUCAAUGUGAGAGUACGUAAAUAAAUAACCAACAACAAAUGCAAGCCACCUACCUUACUGCCGGUGCCUUGGUGACACUAAUGAGGCUGACCUGGCUGGAAACGUGGAGGAAAAAUAACAGUGCUAUUUUUAAAUUUACCUGUGUUGGUGUGCAGAAGGGAAAUGCCAAAUUCCCUGUUGAGCUGCCUGUAUCCUAGGACAAGCCCCUUUCACUCCUAAGGAGAAAUUCAGAGGACUAGGUGCAUUAAUCAGAUUAUUGUCACCUUCUCUGUAGGUGCAGAGAUCCCACCCUGGUUCGAGGAGGGGAUCUAACCUCUUCCAUCCUCCAUACACACGGGAGUGCUGAGAGCCUUGCCGCAUCCUGUGGGAUGACUUGUGGCCAUUAUUUGCUAGUUGUUUUCCCUCUGCAGCAAGUUCUUCCUUAUUCAAAAGAUGCAAGAUGAAGAGUAAAGUACGCCUGGCUUUUCAUCUCUCUGUACAACAUGAACGGUGGUAUUAGUGGGAGUCAGACCAUGUUUCCUUUUGAAGGAGGUGAGGGGGCAGAUGGGGCUGUGGGGUAUCCUUGGGGCAGCCACCAGGCUAAGCCCCUGGCCUGCUGUUCCCUUGUCCCACCUGGCUGCGGUGCUGGGUGCUGGAGCAGAGGGAGCACUGGUUUAUCAAAGCAAAGGGUUUUGCAGGAUUCAUGGCUUACAGAAGAUUUGUUCUACCCAAAGUCUAAUCAAACAGGGUGAAAAAGAUCAGUAGAACGUUUUCCAGUGAUAUUAUUCUAACAGCCAUCGUUAUGAUGUGCUCUAUAAACAAAAGAGGGCACCGCAUGUCUGUCCCUGAAAGAUCUCAUAGUCUAAAUAAAAGUCUUCUCAAGGCUUCCAAGCAUGCAGAAGUAGCACAGAUAUUCCCUCACAGUCCUUAAAGGCAAACCAGCCAGACUCACCUGCUGCCCUACUCUCUGCUAGGUUUUGGUGCUGAAGUUAAUUGUAUCUCUUCUAAAACGCUUAUGCAUACACUCAUAGGGGUCAGUACUAAGCCCGUUAUGUGUGAGAUGUAUCACAUCUGUGAAACGCUGUAUUAAAGGCAGUUAGAAACAUUUAUUAUUCCCUGGAAAACCUGGGUUGAAGGUCUUGCCCAGUGAAGUAGGUGACAACAAGCUCCUCAGACAAACGAAGUAUGGUUGAAUGAGGGAAUGCCUUGCAGUUGCAUAGCUACCAGCUAACCACCAGAAGCCUUUUAGAAACAGUCUUUCCCAGCACAGCUCCCACACUACAGCGCAUUGCAGCCCUUUGCUGGCACAGCCCAGGUGGGCAAGCAUCAGUAGCGUGUACAGCAGAGAUAUAGCCACAGGCAUUCCGAUGGUCCUGGGCAGCCACAUUUGGUGCUCUGUUUCUCCUCCAUUUGCCGUGUGAGAUUAUAGAUGUUUUGUUAUAGCGGUAGUGUGGAGUUUGGGGCUGAAGUGGUACAGUGCUCUGGACUUAGGAAGUGCUGAACCAUACCAACUUUUGUUGUUGAGAGAAGUUUGCAUCUGCAAAAAAUCAAAUUCUUACAAAGAUUAAUUAAAUUUCCUCUAACACAUACAUUGUGUAUAAAGCUGCAGAAGGACUGCAGUGGAUAUAUGGAUAUUGUUAGCUCCUCUAUUGGUUCAGUGAGGGUUAUUUUCAAAAAAUGAAAUGGAUAUGAACUGAGGUGAAUGCACCAUCCACUGCUGAUCCUGUGCUAAAAAGAUCACUCCAGGUGCACUCCAGAUGUCCUGACACCCCCUGUACAAAAGCCUACUUACUUGUACCCUAUGUAAGAAAAUAGCAUUUAGUGUUCAAUAUUGUUGAAGAGGACAAA